rnacentral:lncRNA from 1 species
CGUUAUUUUCAACGAAGUACUGUGUAAUAAACAAUUAAAAUAAACAUCAUUAAAAAUGUCUGGCGCCAGGAAUUGA